ensembl:lncRNA
GAAAAAUUUCCUCUUAAAGCAAGUAUAUUCUUGGGUGUUUUUUCUCCAAAUACUGAGUGUAGCAAUUUUUUAAAGCAUAGGAUUUUUAUUUCAGUUUCCCUCAGUAUUUGUAAGUAGCUCCAUUUGAAUGGGGGUGUGCGGGGAGGGUAAUGAGUAUGAAUGUGUGCUAUGUAUUCUCAGUGUGUAUUUGACAGUUACUUCACUGCAGCGUGUGUAAAUGAUGCCUGUGAGUCCUGUGAGACGUCAGAGUUUAUUCUCACCUCAUGGCUUGCAUUAUUGAAGGCCACACGUAGAUGAGAUGAUGCUGAUGUGCCCCACAGUAGUGCCCCACAGUUCCCACUGCAUGGAGAGCACAGUUCACACAAGCUCAUCACGGCGCACUUCAGAGAGAAGGUGCUUAGAGGGGCUGGCAUGGCAAAACCUUCUCCUUCUGUCUUCUGUCUUGAUAUCUAAUCUUUAAUCUGAAUAAUCUCAGUUUUGCCAAUACUCAGUGGCGUUGAAAAGAUCUGUCUACAUUCUUCCCCGCCUGUGUUGGAGACGGAUGAAACCUUCCAAUGACAGGGGUUUGUUGUCCUACCUGCAUAUCUUUCAUACAAUCAAAUGUUAUGCAGAAUUUUAAUUUAUUUUUAGUUCCUAAAGUUAAGGUAGCUUCAAUAUUAUUUCACAUUCCUUUUUCUUUUUAAAUAACCAGAUUUGCUUUGCAAAGACUUAGGGGCGGAAUUAAGUUAGUAUCUUUCACUUAGGGUAAAGAGGACAAGAAAAUAUUAUUUAAGAGUUAGGAGCACUUUGUCUAGUUUUGUUAGUUAUGUAUGGCCUUAAUAAUCAGUCUCUUGGCUUAAAUGUUCACUGGUUUUGCUUUGACACAGUUGAACAGCACUGGGGUUCAGUUCCUGAUGCUUGUGUUGGCAAUAUAUAUUAACCAUAUUUUAAGAGUAUCAUUCUGGCUUUUUAUGGAAAAGAUAAAAAUCAAACAGUAUAUUCCUUUGAGGGUUUUUUUAAUACGUAAAUAUAUAUAAAUAUAAUAUAUGAUGGAUUUUUUCUAAUUUUUUAUAUUUCCUUACAAUUUGGUGGCUAUUAUUCUAACUACUCUUUGGCAUAUACUAAGUAGCUAGUCUGGGCUUUCAAGAAUAUGCAUGGGCAUUUCAGUUUUUAUUAGCUGAAUGAGGACAUUUUGAAUUCUCUUAAGUCACCUGAUUAUUAAAUAACAAUGUUUAUUUUUAAAACUAACAAUUUGUUGUGUCUUAUUACACAUUACACAGUCCUAAAGGUGCGGCUCUGAUGUCUGCAAGCUGUGGGCCAAGUAUUCUGUUAUCAGUUCUAUAGCACAGAACACUGACUAGAAAUGUAAAGAGAUACCCACACCAAUGUUCUGUUACUGUUUUUCCAAUGAUUCAGGUGUCCAUUGAGUGACGUAACUUAAAUGUUGGGGGAGUGGCGUGUCAGAACCAGUUAUCUGGCUUCUGUUUUGUCCAUAGCUUAGAUUUGUUCUGUUGUCAAAACUGUCCCCUGCCCUCCCCUCCCGUAACAAUGGUGUGACACAUACUCAUGCAUAAACUGUUAAAUGAGCAUCUUUGUAUUUGUAUUGUUUUCAACAUUGCCAAGGUGCUAUGAGAAAUUAAAAUUACAAAAUUAGAAAAAAUAAAAUUAUUGAAAA